GUCGUGAUGCCUAUAGUCUACAAACACAUUCUUGCCGAUAACACUGCAUAUUUUGAACUGCACAUGCAUUUUCCAGUUGGUUUAUCCCGAGGGUGCAACCUAGUGAACUUCACAUUUUUGAAUUUUAACUGUCCAAUAGUCAUUAGGAAUUUAAUAUUUUAUAUACCCGCUAUAUAUAGGUAGUCACUAUGUGUGUUAUAUAUAAGGCAUGAGCAAU
rnacentral:lncRNA from 1 species